GUAGCGUGCUCGGGCUUCCUUAAUAUCCCAUGGGAAGAGAGUCCAUUAAGACAAAGACUUAUAUCAAUCUCUCCCUUCCAACUUAAUUAAGUUUUUAUAAACACUGGGCCCCAUAUGGAAAAGAGGGGAAAAAGCAACCCGGCACCGAAUUACCAAGGCAAAUAGAAUCCAAAUGAAGUUAUUUUCUCUGCCUUGUUUGAGUCCGGUUUUAAUUAGGCAGCUGUUGGGACUUGGUGUUGCCUGCAUGUAAUUGUGUCAUUGUCAUUCAUUAGAGGUUUGAUUAGAGUUAUUGUUUGCUUGCCUCCUAACGUUUUCAUUUCUUCUGUUUUCCACCGAUGACCUGGCCAACUUUGCCUUUCAAGUAAUUACAGUUUAGCAGGCUACAUUAUUUAUCUAUUAAGGCGGCACUGCAACUGUCUCAGCCCUGGUUUUUUGUUCUUUCGCCCUUACUGAGGAUUUGGAUCCAAGGCUCGGGCUGGGGGUGGGGAGGACACCCAAUUGCCCUGCAUCAUAAAGCCCAACAUGCUGACUGUAUUGAUGGCCAUAGGGUUGAAUGUGAAGAGGGCUGCCCUGGUGCUCAUCCAACCGUAGCCCACCGGAACCUCCAGUUUCAGGGUAGGGGAGCCACUCCCUCUUCCUGGUCCACCGAGGCCGCAUCCCAUUCAAGCUCCUUAGCACUGACAUCACCAGACUCUGACAGCUGAAGAAAGCUUGAUUCUCACCACCUUAAUAUCAUGAUCCAUCAUCAUGUAUGGGAAUCAGGUGGCCCCAAAGCCUCCCUUUUGCAAUAAAAAAGGAGCAAUUUUUCAGCUAGUGUGUGGGACAGAGGAGAGAUUGAAACAAAGAAAUACUUUCUACUCUGGUGCCCCCAAUCCCUACAGAUGCAGGAAUCAUCAUAUUUUCUACACCGGUGCUCCCAACACAAACACAUUCACAGAUCAUCAUCAAAAUACACUGAGAGAAAAACUGAACCAGGUGAGAUUUGGGAAGAAAGAAGUGAGACUGUAUUGGAUUGUGUAGCAGCAUGCCUGGUCCGUGGUUAAAAACUGGAACUGGACCGUGGUUAAAAAUGGACACAAAGAUCAGCCUUCAAAGGCUGUGAAAAGAAUUCAAGAAAUGAUGCUUGAUGUUUCAAGAAGUGUUUGCUAAUAAUUAAAGUAAUCUCCAGACAUUUAUUUAUUUAUUAUUAAAUUUUUGUACUGCAUUUCAUUAAAACAAUCUCAAGGUAGUUUAAAAACAUUUAAAACAUUUACACAAUAAAAAUAUCAAGUUGAAAUAUAAAAAUGCUAAUCUAAUUCCCUCCAUGAAUAUCCUGAACAAGCAAAGGAUAAAGUCAGGAAAUCGUACCAUUGGCAACAGGCAUUGGCAACAGCUGUAAAGGGUAGCCAAUUACAGGGAAUCAAGAGGGGCAUUGGCCCCGUAAUUGUGGGCAGGCAGUGCACAGCCUGUGAGGAGGCAUAUAAGGAGCCAGCCGGGGAUGAGAGGCUGGCCGGUGGAGAGUGUCAGGGCCCCCUGGAGAGGGGCAGACACAAGGAGCAAGCAACCUGGGAUGGAGGAUGCACAG